GCCAGGUGUGGUUGUGCAUACCUGUAGUCCCAGGUACUUGGAAGGCUGAGGCAGGAGAAUUGCUUGAGCCCAGGAGUUCUGGGCUGUAGUCUGCUGUGCCAGGUGUUGGCACUAAGUCUGGCAUCAAUGUGGUGACCUCCCUGGAGCAGGGGACAACCUAAGGAGGAGUGAACCAGCCCAGGUCAGAAGUAGGUCAGGUCAAAACUCCUGUGCUGAUCAGUAAUGGGAUUGUGCCUGUGAACAGCCACUGCACUCCAGCCAGGGCAGUAUAGCAAGAUCUGGUCCCUA
rnacentral:SRP_RNA from 1 species